rnacentral:hammerhead_ribozyme from 1 species
AUCUAUUUGAUGAGUCCCAUGUAGGACGAAAUGCGCGUCCUGGAU